rnacentral:piRNA from 1 species
UAUUCCAUGCGUAAUUCAGCUGCCU